ensembl:lncRNA
GAACACUAUUAAAGAGAAACUGUUUUUAUGUCUUUACAACUAUAUAAAGAAUGAGUUGUAUAUACUAUUAUGCAAAAAUAAUAUAAAUUUCCCUAUGUAUUAUGCAUAUAUAACUAAAUUAUUAAAUUUUUUAGGAGAGUAUGGAACUACCCAUGAACUUAUAAAUAAAAAAAUUGAUUCGAUGAAAGGUAUAUGUGAUGUAACUAUAACUAACGAAACAGAAAAAACAAAAAAAAAAAAAAAAAUAAGUACAAAUAAUUUAAGCGAAGAUAUUUUAAAAAACAAAAAUAUCUUAAGAAAACAAAAUUACGGAUAUGAAAAAUUAAAAAAUAAACAAGUGGAUAUCAUGUCUUAUUUGAAAGUAAAAAUGAAUGAAAAUAAUGAAAAUGAUAAUGAAGAGUUUAAAAAAGAAGAAAAAGAAAAUAUAUUUAUAAAUCAGAUUGUUAAAAAAUUAUAUCUUAUGAAUUUUAAAUUAAAUAAAGAAUAUUAUGAACAUUUUGGUUGUUUUAAAAAAUAUAAUUUAAAAAAUGUUAUUGAAGAAGAAAAGAAAAAAAAUAGAAAACAAAAUUCAGGUUUCAUAUUUGACGAUUUUGUCGAAAGUGAUCAUGACAAUGACUUGGUUGUUAAUUGGAAUGAUUAUCCGAGUGGUCAAAAUAAUGGAGAGGAUAGCGAUGGUGAUUGUGACAUUCCUUUGGACUUGCACGAACAAAAUAAGCAAUAUGAAGACAAUUUGUUUCUUCUAGAAAAGGAACAAACUGAUUUAAGCAACACAAAAAAAAAAAAAGUAAAAACAGAAGAGACAGGUGCUGAUUCAGUAAAAGACUCAAAGGUAGAGGAAGAGGGAGGGGUAGAAACAAAUAAACAAAAUCAGCCCAUCAAUAAACCGUACAUCUCAAGUGAUAAUAAUGUAAUGGGUAGUACCGAUUUGAGUAGAAAAACUAGUUCAAACCCAAUGGACUACUACGAUCUAUAUAGUACUUUUAUAAAUAAUAAUAUAAAAUAUUAUAAUCAUGUAAAAGAUAGUGAAACAAUACUUGGUGAUGUCGAUUUAUAUUUAUUUCUUUUGUUUUCCCAAAUAAUUAAUAAUAAUCUUGAAAACCAAGUGAAAGUAUUAGGAGAAAAUGUGUUUAUUAAACAAAUUGAAAAUUUUAAAAUGAUUAAUAACAUUGUUAAAAGAAUAAUAUUAAAUAAUAUGAUGAAAGAAAAACUAAAAUUUUAUUUUCUUACUUUAUAUAUUGUCAAAAUUAGUACAAUAAAUAUUUUUAAUGGUAACUCAACAGAUGACAUUUUUUUGAAUUAUUCAGUUUUGCUUAAGCUAUUAAAUAAUUUGUUAUUCUUUUCAUAUAUUCAAGAGAAAAAAAUGAAGGAUAGUAUGGAAAUAUAUGAAGGAGUAAACGUAAGGAGUAAAAGCGAAGGUAUGACAGGCACGAACGACGACAAGAGGCUAUGCAAAAACAGGAGUGUUAGUAGAAAAUACAAAAGCAAAGGAAAAGCAAGAGCAAAAGAAAAAGAAAGAACAAAAUCAGAAGUAAAAGCAGAAGCAAAAGCAGAAGCAAAAGCAGAAGCAAAAGCAGAAGUAAAAGCAGAAGCAAAAGCAGAAGCAAAAGCAGAAGCAAAAGCAGAAGCAAAAGACAAAGCAAAAGCAGAAGCAAAAGACAAAGCAAAAGACAAAGACAAAGACAAAGACAAAGACAAAGACAAAGACAAAGAGCACACAUUAGGCUACACAACAUAUUGCUACAACUACUUUUAUAAAUUAAAAAAAUUGCAAGAUCAAAAAAGUGGACAGCAUAAUAUAUACAGAUAUGAGUUGCAAAAAAAACAGAAAUCCCAAAUGAAAUGUACAUAUGACGAACUUUUUAAUAUUAUUAUUUAUUUUUUACAUAAUGAAAAACUACUAGCCAAUAACAGGGAUAAAUAUAUUAAAACUUUCAUAGAGCAACUAUUAAAAACUCCUAAAUUAUCUUUUUCUUUUUUUAUUUAUUUAAUUCUUUGGUUAAAUAACAUACAUGUACAUAUAGAUUAUCAAGGUUAUAUUAAUAACAGUAAAAAGGAUCAGUUAAUGUUGAUAAAAAAUGAAAGACAAAAAAACGACAUGCUCAGUUCGAACAAAAAUGAAGAAAUAAAAAAUAUAAAAUCAUCACUAUUAUAUUUUUGUGAAAAUGAUACACAAACAAAUGAAACAAGUCAAAUAAACACAUUGCAAAAUAGAGAUGAACAAAUUGAGGAAUUACACUUUGAAAAUAGUAGUAAUAGCAAAGAAGAAAAGGAUAAUACUAAUAAUGUAAAUAUGGGUUUGGGUAAAAUUGUAGGAGAAAAACAAACGGAUUUGCAACAUAGCUGUACAAACGUGGUAUCUUCAGAUAUAUCCUAUAUGGGCAUAUCCGAUUCGAACAUGUCUAGCACCAGUUUAUCCCACUUCGAAGUUGAGUCGAGUGAAAGCGAUGAAUACAUUUGGUCGGAUGAAGAAAAAAAUAGCGAACUAAAUAGUAUUACAAAAGAGAAAAAAACAAAUAAUAAUAACUGUGACAACUGUAAAUCACGGACAUUAAACUGCGUACAGCAUGAAUUGGAUAAAAAUUUAUUUGAUAUCAACUAUUAUAUUAAAUAUUCACAGAGACGGUCAAAUAGUGCUAAUUAUUAUAUUCUUAGUUUUUCAUUAAUUUCUAAUUUAUUAAAAAAGAAUCAAAAUAUAAAAGCAAAAAAAACUAUAUUAGCUAUAUAUAUGAAUACAUUAUUUCAAUCUAAUAAUGAAAUAAGAAUAAUUUUAAAAAAAUUAAUUACUGCUUCAAAAGGAAUUUAUAACAAUUCAUUAAAUUUUAUGGUAUAUACAAAAAGAAUAUAUAACUUUUAUCAUAAAGUUCUUAUUUUAUUUUUAUUAUAUAUAUGUAAUAUAUAUAUUCCUAACUUGAAAAAUGAUAUAGAUUAUUUUAUUCAUUUUGCUUUUUAUUUAUGGCCUCUAGAAUUAAUUAAUUUUAUUCAUAACUUUUUAGUUAACAAUUUUGCUUUUUUUUAUAAUAAUAUAGUAUCUCUUUUUGUAAAUUCGAAUCAAGUGGAAAUAUAUGAAAAAAAACUAAUUACUUCAAAAAAAAACUAUUCAAUUAUUAAUGAUAAAUUAAACGAGUAUGUAUCUAACCUUGACAAUACAAAUAUCAUGCAGUCAUUAGAGUCUUUUUUAAAAGAAACUGAUUUUUUUUUUAACGCUGAUAAAAACACAUUACAAAAAGAGGAUAGUAAGAAAAAUGAAAUGGUGCAUGAAAAGAAAGAAGACACACUAGUAAGUAUAUGUGAGGAAAUAAAAAAUGACAUAUAUGAAGAAUUACGAAAGGAAGAAAAAGAAUGUUUAUUAAAUGAUGUGAUAUCUCAAAAGGCAUUACUCGAAGAGAUUUUCGUCAAUUUGUUUUUAAAAAGUGUCAAUUUAUUAGAAGAUAAAAAGUUAAUUGUAAAAAUAAAAAAAGCAAAUAUUUUUUUUAAUUUUUUAAGUAUUAAUUAUGUUAGUAAGUUAUGUAAAUUUAUUUUAACAAAUAUAGAAAAAAGUUAUGAAAAAAAUAAAAAUGAAUUUUGGUUAAAUUUUUAUAUUCUACUGAAUGAAACAUCAGAAGAUAAUAAAAACAAAACAAAAGAUCAAAUAAAAGUUGUAGAAUUACGACAAAUAUCAAACUUUUUUUUAAACGCAAUUGAUAACUUUUUAAGUAUAUGUGUUAGAUCAACUAUGUUUUUCCAUUUCUAUUUAUUAACUUAUAAUAAUUGUAGUAAGAAAGAAGUAAAGGAGGUUUUAUUGAGUAAGUUUAUUUUGACCUUGCCGUUACUUAAUUCGCUAUACCAUGAAGAAAUAUAUAGAAUAUUAAAAUAUAACAACAAGGUGAGUAAUGAGAGCAGUGAUGUUGAUAGAGAUCAAACGAGUGAAUUAGCGGAGGGGGGAAAUAAGGUCGAACUAGCGGAGGGGAUAAAUAAGGACAAACUAGCAGAGGGGAUAAAUAAGGACAAACUAGCAGAGGGGAUAAAUAAGGUCGAACUAGCGGAGGGGAUAAAUAAGGUCGAACUAGCGGAGGGGAUAAAUAAGGUCGAACUAGCGGAGGGGAUAAAUAAGGACAAACUAGCGAAAGAGGUGAAUAACACCGAAGUUGUUGAAAAAACAAACGACGAAAACAAUUUAAAUAAAAACAAUUUAUUUCAUAUUAACAUAGAAAUUGUUAAAUACAUAAGUAAAAAUUUAUAUGAACAUGCUUCAGGGUGUAGUAAUAGUACAUGGGAAACUCAUUUACAUUUUUUAAAUUUUUGUUAUAAUUUAUAUCUCGAAAAUAAUAAUAUAUAUUUUAUUAUUGAAUUAAUUGCAUUUUUAAAAAAAGAGCAAAUCUUAUAUAUACUAAAUGAAAUAAUAAAAAAUGAUUUGGAAGAAAAUAAAAAAAUUGAAAUAUUAAAAAUUUGUUUUAAUAAUAUUAUUAAAUUACCAUAUUCAUAUAUUUUGGAAAAACAAAAUGAGAAUGAAUCUUAUUAUAUAACGAAUAUUGAUAUAUUUUAUUUUUUUUAUAAUUUAAAUAAAAAUAAAAAUAUUCAAAAAGUUAUGUUAGAUUAUUUUGUAACUAAAGUUAAUAUAAAUAAUACAGUCAAAGAUCAAGAACAGAAUAAAAAUUUUAAUAGCAUUUCAAUAAAAGAUGUAGCUAAUAUAAUACAACAAGUGGCUGAAAGCUGUGAUACCAUAUUCCCUAUAUAUGGAAGAUUCUUAUGUCAAAUUACUAAAAAUAUAAUUAUAUUAAGAGAAUUUAUAAGUAGCAUUAUUAUUCCUUUGUUAAUACAAAAAAAAAUAUGGACAAGUAAAUUUUUAUGGAAAGGCUGUUUAAUGUGUAUACAUAUGCUUUGGUCCGACUUCAAGCAUUCUUUAUUUUACAUCUUUUUUAUGUUACCACAGUAAGUUAAAAUUAAAUGAACAAAUGGUUUAAUGAUCGAAUAUUUAAUAUAAAUAUGUACAUAUUUUUGCAUGUAUAGGUGCGUCUUUACACUUAUAUAUAUUUUUCGUACAAAUGAUUUUUUUUAUGAAAUAUUUUAUUUUUUUAUUUUAUUUUUUUUUUUUUUACGCAU